GACGAACGCUGGCGGCGUGCUUAACACAUGCCAGUCGAACGGAAAGGCCCUGCUUUUGUGGGGUGCUCGAGUGGCGAACGGGUGAGUAACACGUGAGUAACCUGCCCUUGACUUUGGGAUAACUUCAGGAAACUGGGGCUAAUACCGGAUAGGAGCUCCUGCUGCAUGGUGGGGGUUGGAAAGUUUCGGCGGUUGGGGAUGGACUCGCGGCUUAUCAGCUUGUUGGUGGGGUAGUGGCUUACCAAGGCUUUGACGGGUAGCCGGCCUGAGAGGGUGACCGGCCACAUGGGGACUGAGAUACGGCCCAGACUCCUACGGGAGGCAGCGGUGGGGAAUAUUGCACAAUGGGCGGAAGCCUGAUGCAGCAACGCCGCGUGCGGGAUGACGGCCUUCGGGUUGUAAACCGCUUUCGCCUGUGACGAAGCGUGAGUGACGGUAAUGGGUAAAGAAGCACCGGCUAACUACGU
rnacentral:rRNA from 1 species